UACACUCCUGCGGGAGGCAGCAGUGGGGAAUUUUGGACAAUGGGCGAAAGCCUGAUCCAGCAAUGCCGCGUGUGUGAAGAAGGCCUUCGGGUUGUAAAGCACUUUUGUCCGGAAAGAAAUCCUUGGCUCUAAUACAGUCGGGGGAUGACGGUACCGGAAGAAUAAGCACCGGCUAACUACGUGCCAGCAGCCGCGGUAAUACGUAGGGUGCGAGCGUUAAUCGGAAUUACUGGGCGUAAAGCGUGCGCAGGCGGUUUGCUAAGACCGAUGUGAAAUCCCCGGGCUCAACCUGGGAACUGCAUUGGUGACGGGCAGGCUAGAGUAUGGCAGAGGGGGGUAGAAUUCCACGUGUAGCAGUGAAAUGCGUAGAGAUGUGGAGGAAUACCGAUGGCGAAGGCAGCCCCCUGGGCCAAUACUGACGCUCAUGCACGAAAGCGUGGGGAGCAAACAGGAUUAGAUACCCUAGUAGUCCCA
rnacentral:rRNA from 1 species